rnacentral:tRNA from 1 species
UCUGAUUUAGCAUAUUAUUUUAAUGCAUUGGAUUGUAAAUCCAUAAAAAGUUUUAAGCUA